rnacentral:rRNA from 1 species
CAGCAGCCGCGGUAAAACGUAGGGUGCGAGCGUUAAUCGGAAUUACUGGGCGUAAAGCGUGCGCAGGCGGCUUUGUAAGACAGGCGUGAAAUCCCCGGGCUCAACCUGGGAAUGGCGCUUGUGACUGCAAAGCUAGAGUGCGGCAGAGGGGGAUGGAAUUCCGCGUGUAGCAGUGAAAUGCGUAGAUAUGCGGAGGAACACCGACGGCGAAGGCAAUCCCCUGGGCCUGCACUGACGCUCAUGCACGAAAGCGUGGGGAGCAAACAGGAUUAGAUACCCCAGUAGUCCCUGUCUCUUAUAA